rnacentral:rRNA from 3 species
UUUAAAUGGCCGCAGUAUACUAACUGUGCAAAGGUAGCAUAAUCAUUAGUCUUUUAAUUGAAGGCUGGUAUGAAUGGUUGGACGAGAUAUUAACUGUUUCAUAAAAAUUUAUAUUAGAAUUUUAUUUUUUAGUCAAAAAGCUAAAAUUUAUUUAAAAGACGAGAAGACCCUAUAAAUCUUUAUAUUUAAAUUAUUAUAAUUUUAUAGAUUAUUUUUGUUAUAAUAAUUGAUAAUAUUUUAUUGGGGUGAUAUUAAAAUUUAAUAAACUUUUAAUUUUUAAAAUCAUUGAUUUAUGAAUAAUUGAUCCGUUAUUAACGAUUAAAAAAAUAAGUUACUUUAGGGAUAACAGCGUAAUUUUUUUGGAGAGUUCAUAUCGAUAAAAAAGAUUGCGACCUCGAUGUUGGAUUAAGAUAUAAUUUUAGGUGUAGCCGCUUAAAUUUUAAGUCUGUUCGACUUUUAA